GGUGUAUAGAACAUGCCCCUGCAGCCUCACUGCUCAAUUCUCUGCCAUUUAGGAGUUAAAUCCCUUUAUUUAUGAACCCUAGUCACACCUCCCUGCAUGUGACUUGCACAGCCUUCCAUAAACACUUCCUGUAAAGAGAGCCCUAUUUAGGCUUUCUUUAUUGCAAGUUCUGUUUAAUUAAGAUUUUCUUAUCCUCUGCUAUGUUAAUAGCUUGCUAGACCCUGCAAGAGCCUCCUGUAUGUGAUUAAAGUUCAAUUUAGAGAUUGAGAUGCAAUUAUUUAAGGUAAAUUACAUCUGUGUGAAAGUGAAACCAGUUUUUUUUUUUCAUGCAGGCUCUGUCAAUCAUAGCCAGGGGAGGUGGG